GCGGCAGGGGCGGCCGGCCAGGCCCCGCUGGGCGCAGGCCUAUGGAGGGCGGAACCCUGGAGCCCCCAGGGGAGGGCACGGCGCAGGGGAUAUGUGGAUGCAUACAGCCAGACCCACCGGCAAACAGCCUCAAGCCUGGAGCACAGAAAUGCCCAGGCAGAUGGCCCUGUGCAGGGCUGAGCUGGAAGAGGUGACCAGGGCCUCCUCGCACCUUGCCCACCAGAGUGAGCCUGGCCUGC